AGGAGUAUAGCUCAAUUGGUAGAGCACCGGUCUCCAAAACCGGGGGCUGGGGGUUCGAGUCCCUCUACUCCUGCCA
rnacentral:tRNA from 1 species